AAAUAGUUCACUUUUUACAGUAUGCUUUCAAAAUUUUAUUUUUUGACAUUGAUUUUUGGGAUGAAGAGAGUGGGCUUAUGCUAAAUUUGGGGUCAUAAAAAUGUGCCUAACAUGGUUUUUGAAGCAGCUGUUUUGUUAUAUUACUGUAGAAUAAUUCCACACGCGCACAUAAAAGGGAGGGAUUUCAUGCUAUUGUUUCAUGGUAGUAAUGAAACCAGACCUUUGAAAACUAUGUUAAGGC
rnacentral:lncRNA from 1 species